UACGAAGGGGGCUAGCGUUGCUCGGAAUUACUGGGCGUAAAGCGCGUGUAGGCGGUCUCGCAAGUCGGAUGUGAAAGCCCAGGGCUCAACCCUGGAAGUGCACUCGAUACUGCGAGGCUAGAGUCCCGGAGAGGAUGGUGGAACUCUCGGUGUAGAGGUGAAAUUCGUAGAUAUCGAGAAGAACACCGGUGGCGAAGGCGGCCAUCUGGACGGUGACUGACGCUGAGACGCGAAAGCGUGGGGAGCAAACAGG
rnacentral:rRNA from 1 species